UUAUCUUUUCACCUGCAAAUAGUAAACAUCGAAUGAUUUGAUCGUAUGGUAGUUUUUCAAAUGUGUUGAAACUCAUUCUUUCAAUUAUUGAUUUUACUAUGCCGUCUCAUAUUAAUCCUGCAUAUAAAAAUGAAGAUGAAUUUUCUUUGGGUGAUAAAGCAAGUUCAAGCGAUCAUUUUAACAGUAUAACAUUUAAAACGGAUGUUAUGUCCAGCAGGUCACCGAAUGGACUCAAAGUUUAUAAUUCAAGGCAGCGAUACAUUACUGUAUCUGUAUUAUGCUUCAUAAAUUUGAUUAAUUAUGUGGAUAGAUUUACUAUUGCAGGUAUCUUAAAUCAUGUCCAGAAAUUCUAUUCUUUGGAUAACACAGAAGGUGGCCUACUUCAAACCUCAUUUGUUGUCAGCUACAUGAUAAUGGCACCUGUGUUUGGAUACUUAGGAGACCGUUAUAGCAGGAAAAUUAUCAUUGCAUUUGGAGUCACAUUUUGGAGUUUGACUACUCUCUUAGGAUCUUUCAUUCCAUCUCAUCUUUUUGGUGUAUUUAUUUUCCUUCGUGCACUUGUUGGUACUGGAGAAGCUAGUUAUUCCACAAUAGCUCCUACUAUUAUUGCUGACCUAUUUUCCAAAGACAAAAGAUCAAAAAUGUUAGCAAUUUUUUACUUUGCUAUUCCUGUUGGAAGUGGACUUGGCUAUAUUAUUGGAGCACAAAUUCUUCAGGCAACUGGUGAAUGGCAGUGGGCCCUCCGUAUUACGCCAAUAUUUGGUUUCAUAUCUGUUGUUCUUACAUUUUUGUAUGUGAAAGAUCCACCAAGAGGGGAAGCUGAAGGUGGCACUGUUUUUGAGAAAUCAACUUUAUCUGCUGAUUUGUUAUACUUAUGCAAAACGAAAUCGUUUGUGUAUUCAACAUUGGGAUUCACAAGUGUAACUUUUGCAACUGGUGCUUUAGGGUGGUUUGGACCAGUAUAUAUGGAACUAGCACUAGCUAAACAGUCAUUAGAUCCAGUAUCAUCUAAUGCUCCCUUGAUAUUUGGAAUCAUCACUUGUAUUGCUGGUAUUGUUGGAGUUCUUAUUGGAUCCUUUGCUUCCACAUAUUUAAGGAGGUUUCAUGCAAAAGCUGAUCCUUUAAUCUGCGCAUAUGGAGUUUUAGCUAGUGUACCUCUUAUAUUUGCUGGUGUUGUAGUUUCUGAAUAUAGCAUCAUAACAUCAUGGGUCCUUAUCUUUAUUGGAGAAGUUUGCUUAUGUGUCAAUUGGACUAUUGUCGCAGAUAUGCUGCUGUAUGUUAUUAUUCCUACGAGAAGAUCAAUAGCUGAGGCUGUUCAAAUACUUGUAUCUCACGCUUUUGGUGAUGCAUGUAGUCCUUACAUAAUUGGGCAGGUUUCAGAUUCAAUUUUCAUGUCAUCAGAUACCAGCAUUCAUAAAUAUCUGAGUCUGCAAUAUGCUUUAUACAUACCUACUGGUGUGCUUGUUAUUGGUGCGUUUUUCUUUUUCCUCACAGCCUUACACAUUGAAAAAGACAAAGCAAAAUGCAGUUUUGCAACACAUGAUGCUGAUUGAAAAUAUUUUUGUUCAGUUGAUAUGGUUUUAUAAGUUAAAAGCAAAAGGAGUUUUUAAUACAAGGUCUUUACCCUCCUCUGCAUAUUUUUGCUGAAGAUCCAAUUCAAAUACCAGCUGAUGAAAUCAGUGAUUCAAGACAUCUCUUGUAAAAGCAAACUUUUUUUUUUUAAUGAAAUGCUAUUUAGAUUCUGCCAAAAAAGUGUCAAUAAUUUCAAAUUAUUUAUUUGUACUAUAUUUUGUUAUAUAUUUUAUUUAUUUAAGUCUGUAUGUGUAAUAAACUACAUGCAUGCCAAUGAUGUGAUAUAUCUGUGAUAUAUUUUGUAUGUAAUUUUAUCAUGCCGAUGUGCUUAUUUCCUAGUUUCUGAGAAUGUCAACAAGGUAUCAGAUUCACCUUAUGUACUUCCAGUGGAAAAUGCAUUCAUGUCACAAAUAGAUAAAACAACAAGAAGCUCCCUUGAAUUAAAAUGUUCUCACGAAGUUACUUCUUUAUAACUUGAGUGGA